rnacentral:lncRNA from 1 species
AGCUAAUAGAGGAAACUGGAUGGCUGAGGAAGGAUGUGGAGAGGAGAUUUACUUUAGAAAUUCAUUUAUUAUUAAAUAUUUCAGACAUACCAGAAGGUACAAACAAUAAUAUAAGGCAUGCUUGUGAAAUUAACAUUAACCUAAAUAACAAAACAUUACCAAGGCAUGUGAAGCCUUUCUGUUCUUCUCCAUUACAUCUCCUUCCAGUUUACCACUAUCUUGAAAUUUUAGUUACUCCAAUACAUGACUUUAUAAUUUCAUGACAUAUGUACACUCCUAAAAUUUUAUAUUCUUUUGCACGUUUUUAAAUAUAUAGAUGUUAUUUUACACUAUAUAUUUUUUAUUUCCUUUUCUAAGAGAUGGGUGUCCCCACUGGCCUCCAACUCCUGGGCUUAAGAGAUUCUCCUGUCUCAGCUUCCCGAGAAGUUGGGACCACAGGAACACGCCACCGCACCCGGCUUGCGAUGAGAGGAGUUAAACUUGUUUUGUU